rnacentral:rRNA from 1 species
CAGUCGCCGCGGGAAUACAGAGGGUGCAAGCGUUAAUCGGAAUUACUGGGCGUAAAGCGCGCGUAGGUGGUUUGUUAAGUUGGAUGUGAAAUCCCCGGGCUCAACCUGGGAACUGCAUCCAAAACUGGCAAGCUAGAGUAUGGUAGAGGGUGGUGGAAUUUCCUGUGUAGCGGUGAAAUGCGUAGAUAUAGGAAGGAACACCAGUGGCGAAGGCGACCACCUGGACUGAUACUAACACUGAGGUGCGAAAGCGUGGGGAGCAAACAGGAUUAGAUACCCCCGUAGUCCCUGUCUCUUAUAC